UACGGGGGGAGCAAGCGUUGUUCGGAUUUACUGGGCGUAAAGGGCGCGUAGGCGGCCAGCACAAGUCAGUUGUGAAAUCUCCGGGCUUAACCCGGAAAGGUCAACCGAUACUGCGCGGCUAGAGUGCUGGAGGGGAGACUGGAAUUUACGGUGUAGCAGUGAAAUGCGUAGAUAUCGUAAGGAAGACCAGUGGCGAAGGCGAGUCUCUGGACAGCAACUGACGCUGAGGCACGAAGGCCAGGGGAGCAAACGGG
rnacentral:rRNA from 1 species